GGGGUUGGGGGCACAGUGGUAGCACACUUGCCUGGCAUGUGUGAGGCACUGGGUUCAAAUCUCAGAACCUCA
rnacentral:tRNA from 1 species